GUUCUCGAGUAAUCGCGCCAGGCUGAUGUCUGGUGAGGAAAGUCCAUGCCCGCCCAAGCUGCGAUGCUUGGAGUGUUCGCGUCAGGCCCAAUAAGCCUGAGUACCGUUUUACGGUAACGGCGACCCAAAGCGCUAAGGCUUCGGCUAUGCGUGAGUCGGUCUGAAAAGUGCCACAGAGACGAUGCUGACGGGAAACCGUCAGCUUGGAACGGGUAAACCCCGCGAGCGAGUAACCCAAACUUUGGUAGGGGCGCAAGGCCUAGGAAAUUGAACCGAUGGCCCUAACAGCGAAAGCUGAGAUAGAUGAUUACUGAAGGCACCUUGGCCUGACUUGGUGCUGGAACAAAACAUGGCUUAUAGAG
rnacentral:RNase_P_RNA from 2 species